CAGGAUCUAAAAGAAAUUAGAGGGCUGAGGGUAGGUGAGAUCACUCUUCAUGUUGGCAAUGAAGCAAUAGUUGCUAUUGUGGGCAUCGAAACCUACCCUUUGCGACUAUCAUUAGGAAUUAGUUCAAUUUUGAAAGACUGCUAUUUUGUACCUGUAGCCAGUAGAAAUCUGAUUUCUGUAUCUACACUGGCACAAGAUAACUA
rnacentral:lncRNA from 1 species